GUAAGAACUGUGUUAAUGUGGAUUUCUAAGCCUCUGAAUGAAUUUCUAAGGCACCUAACCUAUUGUUUCUGAAAAUAUUUACUUUAAGGUUACAAUCUUAAUCUAAAAGUGGUUCCUGCUUCGUAAUGCCUGUGGACAUGAAGCUAACAAAUCUUUUCAAAAUGUGUUCAUAUGGUAAUUCACUGCAGCACAGGAGCAAUAAUCAGCUAUGUGCAGGCAUCUAUGCUACUGUCUCUUAAAAUACUUUAAAAGACCCUGUGAGGUGAUAUUAUGACCUCUCCUUCCCUAUGCCUCAGAAGAAAUUGAGGCAAUGAGAAAUAAAGUGGUUUAUCCAAGAUCACACAGCAAGUGGUAGAGCCACAAUCUGAACGAG